CACACACACAGAUGGUGGGCACCAACCGCCAGUGGAGAGGAGGAGCUCGUCGUCGGUGAACUCGCGGGUGGAGAGGAGGAGCUCGUCGUCGGUAAACUCGCGGGUUAAGUCGCCGAGGGCGCCGCUGCCGAGGAGACGAAGCCCGCGGGUUCCCGCUACCGCUGUGGAGAUGAGCCGCCAAAGCCACGGGUUCCAGUGAUUUGCUGAUUUAGAUUGUAUUGUGAUUUGUUGUUUUAGAUUGUACUGUGAUUGUCGCAGCCGGAUUUGUUGUUUCAUUAGAUUAAUUUGUUUGAUUUGUGAUUACUGAAUAGAAGAUGCGGGCUUGUGGUCUGCUUUUUUUU